UACAGAGGGUGCGAGCGUUAAUCGGAAUUACUGGGCGUAAAGCGCACGUAGGUGGCGACGUAAGUCGGGUGUGAAAGCCCCGGGCUCAACCUGGGAAUUGCAUUCGAGACUGCAUUGCUGGAGUACGGAAGAGGAGGGCGGAAUUCCCGGUGUAGCGGUGAAAUGCGUAGAUAUCAGGAGGAACACCGAUGGCGAAGGCAGCUCGCUGGGACGGUACUGACGCUGAGGCGCGAAAGCGUGGGGAGCGAACAGG
rnacentral:rRNA from 1 species